GAUGAACGCUGGCGGCGUGCCUAAUACAUGCAAGUCGAGCGGACAGACGAGGCGCUUGCGCGGUUCACGUUUGGCGCGGGCGGGAGAGAAACACGUGGAAACUCUACUUAUAUUAGUGGUAUAAUUUGGGGACAGCGGCUCUAAUACCGUAGGAUAUCUUGCUCCGUGGGGUUCAUUGGUGAAAUACGGCGUUGCGGUAUCUUAUAGAUGGAUCCCCGCCUCAUUAGCUAGUUGUUAGGGUAACGGGUUACCACGGCAAGGAGGCGUAGCCGAGUGAACAGAGUGGUCGGCCACACGAGAACGGGACCACGGUCCAGGCUCCUACGGGAGGCAGCAGUAGGGUAUCUUCCGCAAUAGGCGAAAGCCUGACGGAGCAACGCCGCGUGAGUGAUGAAGGUCUUCGGAUCGUAAAACUCUGUUAUUAGGGAAGAACAAAUGUGUAAGUAACUAUGCACGUAUUGACGGUACCUAAUCAGAAAGCCACGGCUAACUACGUG
rnacentral:rRNA from 1 species